rnacentral:rRNA from 1 species
UACGUAGGGUGCAAGCGUUGUCCGGAAUUAUUGGCGUAAAGAGCUCGUAGGCGGUUUGUCGCGUCUGCUGUGAAAACGCGAGGCUCAACCUCGCGCCUGCAGUGGGUACGGGCAGACUAGAGUGCGGUAGGGGAGAUUGGAAUUCCUGGUGUAGCGGUGAAAUGCGCAGAUAUCAGGAGGAACACCAGCGGCGAAGGCGGCGCUCUGGGCCGGUACUGACGCUGAGGAGCGAAAGCGUGGGGAGCAAACAGG